GUCGAGAACUUUGAUGUUCGAUUGAAUUGUUCCGCCGACUGCAAAGGAAAUUAGCUGAAUUACGUACUUACUUAAAAUUCUAACUGUAUAAAUUCCACGAUAAACUUACUGGUGGUCGGUGGCGUGAAUGUGGUACUGUUAAUCCAUAAUUUUGGAAUUUCGUUAUGGCUGGCGUUCACUUUGAACGACGACAACGUUCCUACUUGAUCGAACGAAGCGAAAUCGAACUCGGUCAGAUCGUUAUACGCGAGAUCGAGAUACUCCAGAUCAGAAACGGAAGGAGAUAGAGCGUGAGACAUUCUCAAUGUUAGAAGCGAAUGGCCGACCUGAGGAAAUUUGAAUCAGAUGAAACUGACGAGAAAUGAAAGUUUAUUCUUUUUUUUUUCUUUUCUACUAUAAUUUUUCGUUUAAGUGAUAUAUUAAGUGAUAUAAUAAUAAACAAAAUCUUAUUUAAUUAAUUCGUUAUAAUAAAAAUUCCAAUAAUAUGAAGUUCCACUAUAUGUAUAUGUUUAUUAUAUUUUUUUCUAUACAAUUUUUUAUAAUAGAAGCCUUUUAUUAGAAUUAUCCAUGGAUCUUUAACUUGGGAAUACGAUUCGAAUCUAGUUCAAUUAAAUAUUAAGCUAAAUUAACUAAACCUUGGAUUAAGAUUUUGUAUGGUUGCUCGGUUAGCAAGUUGGUAGUUUGAGAGCGCAAAAAAAGAAUAAACAAUUAUAUAUAGUAUAUAUAAUACUCAAUAAUAUCAUUUUAUAUACUUGAAUUUCAAACCCUUUGGAAAGAAAAUAUUGCAAAGCAAAUGG